rnacentral:other from 1 species
AAACAUCUGCUGCGCUCGUCACCGAGUUACGAUGAUUGAGCCAACGCCGAAGAAAAGGGAGACCGAAGCCGCAUCUGCCAGUGCAGUUCUUCAUUGUUAAGAAUUGCCAGAGGCUGCGGUAGACAUAGGUCACCCACCUGUUAAGCAGGUUCAAUCUCGGCUUCGGAACGACCUGGCGGAUUUUCC